AACUGUCUUGUGAAAAAGCCUAAAUUUAGUUUUGGUUUUCUGCAUGUCUUAUUUAGGAAAAUUCCUCUUUACUAAAAUUCUACAGUUUCAUACCAUCAUAUUCUAUUCUAUUAUGCAUUACAUUUAUAUUUCCUAUUCAACUUCAAAUGGUUUGGGGCAAGUGCUCUAUGCUAUUAAACUUUGCAUGAAGACACAUUGUUUUUUCUUUUCCAGAGUUCAGUGUCUCCUCCAUCAAAAAGUAAUAUAUAAAUGAGUAACAAACAGGGUCCUUUUGUGGUUUUCCAAAUUCAUUAAAGGGAAUACUUUUUUUCUUUAAAGAAAA
rnacentral:lncRNA from 1 species